rnacentral:rRNA from 1 species
AUUGAACGCUGGCGGCAUGCCUUACACAUACAAGUCGAACGGCAGCACGGGUGCUUGCACCUGGUGGCGAGUGGCGAACGGGUGAGUAAUGCAUCGGAACGUACCCUGGAGUGGGGGAUAACUAUCCGAAAGGAUAGCUAAUACCGCAUAUUCUAUGAGUAGGAAAGCGGGGGAUCUUCGGACCUCGCGCUCUGGGAGCGGCCGAUGUCAGAUUAGCUAGUUGGUGGGGUAAAGGCCUACCAAGGCUACGAUCUGUAGCGGGUCUGAGAGGAUGAUCCGCCACACUGGGACUGAGACACGGCCCAGACUCCUACGGGAGGCAGCAGUGGGGAAUUUUGGACAAUGGGGGCAACCCUGAUCCAGCCAUGCCGCGUGAGUGAAGAAGGCCUUCGGGUUGUAAAGCUCUUUCGGCCGGGAAGAAAUCGCCAUCUCUAAUAUAGGUGGUGGAUGACGGUACCGGAAUAAGAAGCACCGGCUAACUACGUGCCAGCCGCCGCAGUAACAC